rnacentral:rRNA from 1 species
GACGAACGCUGGCGGCGUGCCUAACACAUGCAAGUCGAACGAGAUCCAUGGGAGCUUGCUCCCGGAAGAUCUAGUGGCGAACGGGUGAGUAACACGUGAGAAACCUGCCCUGGAGUGGGGAAUAACUCGGGGGAAACUCGAGCUAAUACCGCAUACCCUCGGAUGGUCGCAUGGCCGACCGAGGAAAGAUUUAUCGCUCUAGGAGGGUCUCGCGGCCUAUCAGCUAGUUGGUGGGGUAACGGCCUACCAAGGCAACGACGGGUAGCUGGUUUGAGAGAACGAUCAGCCACACUGGGACUGAGACACGGCCCAGACUCCUACGGGAGGCAGCAGUGGGGAAUCUUGCGCAAUGGGCGAAAGCCUGACGCAGCAACGCCGCGUGCGGGAUGACGGCCUUCGUGGUUGGUAAACCGC